UUAGCUGAAGCCAAAAAGAGGCUAUUCACUGUUAAUGUUUAAAUUGAUUCACUCCAGCUAAU
rnacentral:tRNA from 1 species